AUUGAACGCUGGCGGCAGGCCUAACACAUGCAAGUCGAGCGGUUGAGGUAGCUUGCUACCGAUGCAGCGGCGAACGGGUGAGUAAUACAUGGGAAUCUGCCUGGUAGUGGGGGACAACGUUUCGAAAGGAACGCUAAUACCGCAUACGCCCUACGGGGGAAAGGGGGGGAUCGCAAGACCUCUCGCUAUCAGAUGAGCCCAUGUCAGAUUAGCUAGUUGGUGAGGUAAAGGCUCACCAAGGCGACGAUCUGUAACUGGUCUGAGAGGAUGAUCAGUCACACUGGAACUGAGACACGGUCCAGACUCCCACGGGAGGCAGCAGUGGGGAAUAUUGGACAAUGGGGGCAACCCUGAUCCAGCCAUGCCGCGUGUGUGAAGAAGGCCUUAGGGUUGUAAAGCACUUUCAGUGGGGAGAAAGGUGAUUCACCUAAUACGUGAGUCAAUUGAUGCUACCCACAGAAGAAGCACCGGCUAACUCCGUGCCAGCCGCCGCCGUAA
rnacentral:rRNA from 1 species